rnacentral:rRNA from 1 species
AGCGAACGCUGGCGGCAGGCUUAACACAUGCAAGUCGAGCGGGCAUCCUUGUGGUGUCCGCGGCAGACGGGUGAGUAACGCGUGGGAACGUGCCCUUCGGUUCGGAAUAACUCAGGGAAACUUGAGCUAAUACCGGAUACGUGCGAGAGCAGAAAGGUUUAUCUGCCGAAGGAUCGGCCCGCGUCUGAUUAGCUAGUUGGUGAGGUUACGGCUCACCAAGGCGACGAUCAGUAGCUGGGCUGAGAGGAUGAUCAGCCACACUGGGACUGAGACACGGCCCAGACUCCUACGGGAGGCAGCAGUGGGGAAUAUUGGACAAUGGGGGCAACCCUGAUCCAGCCAUGCCGCGUGAGUGAUGACGGCCCUAGGGUUGUAAAGCUCUUUUCUCCGGGACGAUAAUGACGGUACCGGAGGAAUAAGCCCCGGCUAACUUCGUG